rnacentral:lncRNA from 1 species
UGGUGUUUGGCAAAUGUGGAGGGGGAGACCUGAGCUGCUUGCGAGCAGCUGUUCGCAUAGUGCUUGAAUAGUGCUAGAGGAUAGGUCUGUCGUUGAAUCUUGAAAGCUCGUAGAUGUGGAGUUUUUUUUUUUUUUUCCUCCAGUCUUAGGUAAACCUUAGGAGGAACCGGUCGAAGGAGAGAGCGCCUUCUGGAACUGUCAAGCACUUGUUCGGCAGCUCAGUGACUGGCUUGGUCUACUUCUGAGGUGCCGAGGCAGGUUGUCUGCUGUUUUGAAACGAUAACAUUGGAAAUGGGGUCCCAUGUGUUGUUGAGGGAUGGGUGCUAAUGCUGGCAGCUGAAUGAUUACCUUCUAUGUUUUCAUUUGUUAAAGCUGAAACGCAGCGUACAACCUGGGACGUCACACCCAGAGCUGCCUCUGGCAAGAGGUGUUGUAGCUGGCUUAAGAGGGUAGAUGGAAGCAUCUGCCUCGGGGUGCCAUGGCAGGCUCUCCACAGAAGUGGCUGAGGAUUUGAGAUGAGGCCAGAGAGUGACAAGGAGCAGCACGUGCAGGGAUGGUUUCCAAGCGCUGCGAUUGUUUUCUCUUCUGUUUAUCAGGUGCCACAGGCAAGGUGGGCUGUAACAUCAGUCUUUAGAAUUGGAGCAAAGCGGGUCACUUGAAUGCCGCACGGCAUCUGAGAAGGGUGUUUUAACAGGAAAAGUUUGUCUGGCGUGGCGGUGUCUGAUGGCAGUGUGUUUCCACAGGUGAAGAGGUGCCUGAAGCCCCAUCCUGGCUGGCCAGCGCACACCUCGCUGAGAACGAAAGCUGCUUUCCAGUAAUUCAGAAAGCUAAGUUACGUCUCGGCCUCGAGCAUCUGGGGCGUGUGCCUGUGCUUUUGGACCUGUCUGUAGCAUUUGGCACCUGCAUUAAUACUUUCUUGGCAUAUGUGCAGGCUUUUGGGGCCUGUGUCUUGGGGGGAGGGUUGGGGCCAGUGUCUAGGGGGGGUGUGGAGCUGCUUGUACAC